CAAUAGCGUAUAUUUAAGUUGUUGCAGUUAAAAAGCUCGUAGUUGGAUUUCGGAUGGGAUUUGCCGGUCCGUCGUUACGAUGUGCACUGGCCAGUCCUAUCUUGUUGUCGGGGACUAGCUCCUGGGCUUCACUGUCCGGGACUAGGAGCUGACGAGGUUACUUUGAGUAAAUUAGAGUGUUCAAAGCAAGCCUACGCUCUGAAUACAUUAGCAUGGAAUAACACGAUAGGACUCUGGCUUAUCUUGUUGGUCUGUGAGACCAGAGUAAUGAUUAAGAGGGACAGUCGGGGGCAUUCGUAUUUCAUUGUCAGAGGUGAAAUUCUUGGAUUUAUGAAAGACGAACUUCUGCGAAAGCAUUUGUCAAGGAUGUUUUCAUUAA
rnacentral:rRNA from 1 species